CUAAGAAACAACCCGCUCUGCACAGUGCUCUUACAGCCUACCGGGAACAUCUCUUACAAAGGCCUGUGAAACGCAGUUUCUUGGCAGGCCUGAUCUGGCUGAAGUAGAACUUCUGCUAUGGGUCUGCUAUAUUGCCCUACAGCUGCAAGACACGACGUGCUGCCUUGUUUCCAAAGGGGCAUUUAGGCCCCAAACCAUCUUGCUUCCAGCUCUUUUGGCAGCUAAGAAACAACUCGCUCUGCACCGUGCUCUUAUAGCCUACCAGGAACAUCUCUUACAAAGGCCUGUGAAAUGCAGUUUGUUGGCAGGCCUGAUCUGGCUGAAGUAGAACUUCUGCUCUGGGUGUGCUACAUUGCCCUAGAGCUGCCAUGCACUAAGUGCUGUCUUGUUUUCAAAGGGAGAUUUAAGCCCCAAAGCAUAUUGCUUCCAGGUGUUUGGGAAAAUAAGAAACAACUCGCUCUGCACAGUGCUCUUACAGCCCAUCGGGAACAUCUCUAACUAAGGCCUGUGAAACUCAGUUUCUUUGCAGGCCUGAUCUGGCUGAAGUAGAACUUCUGCUCAGCGUGUGAUACAUUGCCCUAGAGCUGGAAGGCACAAAGUUCUGCCUUGUUUGCAAAGGGGGAUUUAGGCACCAAAGCAUCUUGCUUCCAGCUCUUUGGGAAGCUAAGAAACAACUCGCUCUCCACAGUGCUCUUACAGCCUACCGGGAAUAUCUCUCACAAAGGCCUGUGAAACGCAGUUUCUUUCCAGCCCUGAUCUUGCUGAAGUAGACCUUCUGCUCUGCCGUGUCCUACAUUGUCCUAGACAUGCCAGGCAGAAUAUCCUGCCUUGUUUCCUCAAGGGAAGACAGGCCACAAAGCGUCUUGCAUCCUCUCCUUGGGAAGUUAAGAAACAACUCGCUCUCCACAGUGCUCUUAAAUCCCACCCCGAACAUGGCUUACAAAGACCUGUGAAAGGCAGUUUCUUCGCAGCCCUGAUCUCGCUGAAGUAGAACUUCUGCUGUGCCGUGUAAUACACUGGCCUAGAGGUGUAAGUCACAGAGACCUGAAUGGCUUCCUUAAGAGCAGACAGGCCACACACCAUCUUCCUUCCAGCUCUUUGGCAAGGUGAGAAAGAGCUUGCUUUCCACAGGGCUGUUACAGCCUACUGGGAACCUCUGAUACAAAGACCUGAUAUGCAGUUUGUUUCCAGCCCAGAUGUCACAGCCUUGGAACUUCUGAUCUAAACCAUGUCCUACAUUGCUCUAUAGGUGGAAGUGAGAAAGCACUGAGUCAUUGCCUCAAAAGUAGACAAGCCACAAACGGUCUUGCUUCCAGGUCUCGGAAGCUAAGAAACAAGUGCUUCUCCAUAGUGCUCUUACAGCCUACCAGGAACAUCUCUCACAAAGGCCUGUGAAAUGCAGUUUCUUCCCAGCCCUGAUCUCGCUCAAGUAGAACUUCUGCUCUGCUGUGCAAUACAUUGCCCUAGAGGUGGAAGUCCCAAACCCUCUCUGGCAUCCUCAAG
rnacentral:lncRNA from 1 species